UUCAGUGCAAAUUGAGGCUUCCUCUGUCUUACCUCUGAUUAACUCAAGCAGAUCAUAAUGGAAUGAUGGUGAAAUGAAAAUUGGAGGUGGAAAGCAUACCACAGACAUCUUUCAUUAGCACUGUAGCUGCACUGUGUAGAAGAUAAUCUGAGAGUGCUUGUUGAAUGAAGGAGUAGAUGGACAUGGCAGCCUUCAGUAGCAGUGACUCCUGCACUGACACCACCAGUAUGAGUGGGUAAGUUAGUGAUGGGACAGAAACACUUCUCAAGAUCUUCAGGCUUGGCCAAGCAAGAAGUCUGGAAGUGUGUUGGCUGGUUGCGUCCCUCUGCAAACAAAGGCAGCGAGGAUCCAGCUCCUUCCCACUGUUCUGUGCUUCUACCCUUAGCAUGUGGUCUUUCUUAUCAGUCAGCCCUCAUUGUCUCCUGGUAGCAGGUCCAGGGAUCACAAGUAAAUGGUGACAUCUAUAGAAAAACAAAGGGAAGUUUGUCUUAAAAUGAAUCUCUCCAUUUUUUUUUUAAGAGCCAAAAAGCCUCCAGAGACUUCCAGGGGACCCUUAUAUCUCCUUGGCCAGAAUUCAGUCGCAUGCCUACUUUUAAAUUAAUACCUGGGAAAGGAGUGAGAUUACAAUGACUGAGUUAGACUAUACAUUCUCAGUGGUGGCAGAAUUGCCACUGUGGUGACCAAAAUUGGUUCUUGGGGACGGGGGAUGUGCUAGCUUCCUAUGCUGCUAUUACAGAUGACCACAAAUCUAGUGGCUUCAAACAAGAUAGAUUUAUUAUCUUUCAUUUCUGGAUGUUAGAAGCCCAAUAAUUAAGGGCUGUAAUUAAGGUGUGUUAAUUAUUCAGCAGAGCUGUGCUCCUUUCUUAAUCUAUUUUGCUCUGUUUUCCAGCUUCCAGAAGCUGCCAGCAUUCCUUGGCUAUGGUCCCCUUCUAUCUUCAAAGCCAGCAAUGAUCAAGCGAGUCUUUUUUUUAUGAUGACCUUUCUCAUUUAUGACUCCUCUGCCUCCCCCUUCCCAAUUUAAGGACCCUUGUGGUUACAAUGGGCCCACCAGAAUCAUCUGGGAUCAUCUUCCUGUCUCAAAUUCAGCUGGAUAGCUACCUUAAUUCCAUUUGCAACCUUAAUUUUCCUUUGCAGUGUAACCUACCAUAUUCACAGGUUCCAGAGAUUAGAAUGUGGAUGUCUUUGUGGGGCUGUUUUUCUGUGUACCACAGGGACAAAAAUAAUCUUAGGUGUUACAAUCGUUUAUGUUCCUCCAAAGGACAUUGUAUCUGUGGAAUUAAACUUUUACAGGAUGGGGACGGAGGUUUGGGAGUACUUAAGGAAAAAAAAUACCUACGAAGUCUCCAUUGGGGGCCUUUUUGUUUGAUAAAUACUGGGUAUAACUAACUAAACUGAGAUUCACCAGUUGGGCUCUGGCAGGGCCAAUGUAUCCCGAGGCAAAUGGCCACUGCCAACCAGUAGUCCCUGAGGAAGAAAAAAGGGGAAACAGCUACUGGGUCUACAGUAGGUAGGAUUUGCUCUAGGGGAGUUGUUUGAAGCUGAGGCAGGGUAGAGAAAGGGUAAUCGGCUGGCAUGAACUUUGGCAGGGAAGAUGUCAUGCAAAAUCCAGUUGGUUUCUGUAGCUGUUAGCUUUUCCUCACUGCUAUUUUCUAUUUGUUUUUAUUUUAUCUUUAAAUAAAGGAAAUGAUGAAAUAUCUAUCCUUAGAAGGC